rnacentral:rRNA from 1 species
AGGACGAACGCUGGCGGCGUGCUUAACACAUGCAAGUCGAACGAGGCGCUUGCGCCUAGUGGCGAACGGGUGAGUAACACGUGAGCAACCUGCCCUUGGCUCUGGGAUAGCCUCCGGAAACGGGGAUUAAUACCGGACAUGACCUUCUCCUGCAUGGGGGAGGGUGGAAAGUUUUCGGCCAGGGAGGGCUCGCGGCCUAUCAGCUUGUUGGGGGGUAACGGCCCACCAAGGCGACGACGGGUAGCCGGCCUGAGAGGGCGACCGGCCACACUGGGACUGGGACACGGCCCAGACUCCUACGGGAGGCAGCAGUGGGGAAUAUUGCACAAUGGGGGAAACCCUGAUGCAGCGACGCCGCGUGCGGGAUGAAGGCCUUCGGGUUGUAAACCGCUUUCAGCAGGGGCGAAUUCAGACGGUACCUGCAGAAGAAGCGCCGGCUAACUACGUGCCAGCAGCCGC